ACUCCUACGGGAGGCAGCAGUGGGGAAUAUUGCACAAUGGGCGCAAGCCUGAUGCAGCCAUGCCGCGUGUAUGAAGAAGGCCUUCGGGUUGUAAAGUACUUUCAGUCAGUGAGGAAGGUGGAUAUGUUAAUAGCAUAUUCAUUUGACGUUAGCUGCAGAGAAGCAACCGGCUAACUCCGUGCCAGCAGCCGCGGUAAUACGGAGGGUGCGAGCGUUAAUCGGAAUUACUGGGCGUAAAGCGCAUGCAGGUGGUUUGUUAAGUCAGAUGUGAAAGCCCGGGGCUCAACCUCGGAAUUGCAUUUGAAACUGGCAAACUAGAGUACUGUAGAGGGGGUAGAA
rnacentral:rRNA from 1 species